rnacentral:rRNA from 1 species
UGAGGAAUAUUGGUCAAUGGGCGAGAGCCUGAACCAGCCAAGUAGCGUGCAGGAUGACGGCCCUAUGGGUUGUAAACUGCUUUUAUGUGGGGAUAAAGUGCGUGACGUGUCAUGCAUUGCAGGUACCACAUGAAUAAGGACCGGCUAAUUCCGUGCCAGCAGCCGCGGUAAUACGGAAGGUCCGGGCGUUAUCCGGAUUUAUUGGGUUUAAAGGGAGCGUAGGCUGUCUAUUAAGCGUGUUGUGAAAUUUACCGGCUCAACCGGUGGCUUGCAGCGCGAACUGGUCGACUUGAGUAUGCAGGAAGUAGGCGGAAUUCAUGGUGUAGCGGUGAAAUGCUUAGGUAUCAUGACGAACUCCGAUUGCGCAGGCAGCUUACUGUAGCAUAACUGACGCUGAAGCUCGAAAGAGCGGGUAUCAAGCAGG